AUUUAUAUAGUUUAAUAAAAACACUACAUUUUCAUUGUAAAAUUAGAUUACUUUUAUAAAUA
rnacentral:tRNA from 1 species